rnacentral:rRNA from 1 species
GACGAACGCUGGCGGCGUGCUUAACACAUGCAAGUCGUACGGUAAGGCCCUUUCGGGGGUACACGAGUGGCGAACGGGUGAGUAACACGUGAGUAACCUGCCCACAACUUUGGGAUAACGCUAGGAAACUGGUGCUAAUACUGGAUAUGUGCUCCUGCUGCAUGGUGGGGGUUGGAAAGCUCCGGCGGUUGUGGAUGGACUCGCGGCCUAUCAGCUUGUUGGUGGGGUAGUGGCCUACCAAGGCGGCGACGGGUAGCCGGCCUGAGAGGGUGACCGGCCACAUUGGGACUGAGAUACGGCCCAGACUCCUACGGGAGGAAGCAGUGGGGAAGAUUGCACAAUGGGCGCAAGCCUGAUGCAGCAACGCCGCGUGCGGGAGGACGGCCUUCGGGUUGUAAACCGCUUUCAGCAGGGACGAAGCUUUUUGUGACGGUACCUGCAGAAGAAGCACCGGCUAACUACGUG